rnacentral:rRNA from 1 species
AUUGAACGCUGGCGGCAGGCUUAACACAUGCAAGUCGAGCGAGCGGCGGACGGGUGAGUAAUGUCUGGGAAACUGCCUGAUGGAGGGGGAUAACUACUGGAAACGGUAGCUAAUACCGCAUACCAUCAGAUGUGCCCAGAUGGGAUUAGCUAGUCGGUGGGGUAAUGGCUCACCUAGGCGACUAUCCCUAGCUGGUCUGAGAGGAUGACCAGCCGACCUGGAACUGAGACACGGGCCAUACUCCUACGAGAGGCAGCAGUGGUGAAUAUUGGACAAUGGGCGAAAGCCUGAUGCAGCCAUGCCGCGUGUGUUAAGAAGGCCUUCGGUUUGUAAAGCACUUUCAGCGAGGAGGCGUUACUCGCAGAAGAAGCACCGGCUAACUCCGUGCCAGCAGCCGCGGUAAUAC